CUCCAGAGUCCUGGAAAUAAGGCCUCAUACACAGGGAAUUAGACAACAGCCCCAUAAAACUAAAACAGUCACACAGGUGAAUGUAGCCCAUAAUACAGUGAUCAUAAUAUUUUCCCCAUUUUCUGAACAUACUAUCAAACCCAAUUAAUCAGAGAAGUAUCCACCCCAGAGUUUUCUGUCAACCCGUGAGCCAGGGUGGUCAAACCAGCUGAGGCUUCGGGCACUGAUUCGUCCAGAGCUGUGUUAUUUGGGAUGUCACCCACGAUAAGACAGCUCAGACAAACAGCUUCCAUGUGAAGCCCCACCCUUUCCCCGAGAACACAUCACUUAGCAAGAGCCAGACACAUCUUCACUUCUAUGAACAAAAACAGGGGUGACAGGACAGGGAGGGUUACUUCAUUCGAGAGAUGGCCCCCGGAAUUCUGUUAAUUCCAGUUCUCCUCUCGAACACUGUUUAUUGUUCGAUAGUGUAAAUGUGUCUUACCCUCCCGCCGUGCGAUAUGAAUCCGGGUAGCUCUUUCAGCUAGCUGUCACCAGGGGACCUUGGUAUGGUCCCCCCAACAAGCCUCUGGGACUGGAUUGAGUGACUUCACCUGUAGCUCACCUAUAAUGCAUAAAAUGCUGGACAUACAGGCUUGGUUAACAAACAGUUUCUCAUAUGUUUUAUCUGAUUAUAUCUUUACCUUCUAUGCCCAUUUGUUUAGCUACAUUUUUUUUUUUUUAAAUGAUUAGUUUCUUAUCCAAUAGGCCCCAUCCUAUCCUAGACCACAAUUUACCUAUCCCCCUUUUGAUACCUGGCUCUGCCCAGGUAACAACCUUACCUACUCUAAAUAAUGACUUAGGUAAGAUUAGUAUAUUAUCCUUCUGUUCUGACAUUAUCAUGUAUGAGCACCCCUUUAAUUUUCCACAUGUCCAAUUCUCCCUUUUGUCUCCACUCAGUGACUGUUAUCUACACAUUCUGUUAUCUUUGCUCGUCCUGGCUCCCUUCUAAAACUUCUCCUCUCUGCUCUCCAACCUUCAAGGUCUCUGCAGUGCGGGGGAGGGCUCUUCUGUCUGCCUUUUCCCAUGUUUCCACAUUUUAACUAAAUGUCUCACUGUCUGGCUUUAUCUAAACUCAUGGAUUUUUAUUUUUAGAAAAACAUGUCUAUGGUGGCAAUUUCUAAAGUCUUUAUAUAGGUUAAGUAAACUCCACUAUAAUUAAAUUUCAAAAAACUUUUUUAAUCUUUUCAUUUAUUUUUUAGACAGUAUUACCCAUGACCACAAAUUCAUUAUUCAAAUGGCACCCCCUUGUGGCUGAUCAGACCACCCGAGAGAGCCAUGAAAGCAGGUCAAAGGUUACACCAUCCCCCUACAUUCGUGUUCCAUACCAUAUUAGACAUAUUAAAGAACCCUUUAUCCUUAAAAUAAAAUAUAAAUCAUUUGUGUAAUUAAAACUCAUAAAAAAAAACUAAAAGUUCCAUAUGUGAGCGUGCCUCUUUAAAAUAUCAUGUCUCUGGGAACAUGGAAAUCCCCUUAACCCAAACAUGUACUACAUAAACAAAACCUAAUAAUUAUGAUAAUCCCCUCAAACUCAAAUAAUUUGUCUCGAUGUUUCAUGUCUUAUUCGUGUUUCUCCAAAUUGUCUCCCCAAAUCUACAAAAAGAAUUUCACGUUAAUAGAGUUGAACACUUUUUUUUCCCAACAGUCAUGCACACCCCCUCAAUAUUCUAUGAUAUAACUCUCAUCAGCAAGCCUGCGACUUUUUCAACAUUCUCACCGGUACCAGCUCCAACUGAAAUACCUAAUGUACCACACUCGCUUGGUCCCCGACCUCAUUCAUACCGAUAUUAGUCCCCGACUGAAUAUCAAGCAUAUUUCAUGCACACGAUUUGAGUCUCACAAAUCUUCAUUUACGCCAGAGCACAUCUAAAACAUUGUUUGAACAUUCACUCAAUAUAGUCAACACAUCUAAAACAUUGUCUAAACAUUCGUUCAAUUUAUCAUUCAGUAGACAUAUGCAUUUACAAACACACAAAUAAACCGGGGCCAGAUAUGCCCAGUCUAGUCCAGGGAUAACCCCUGUCUCUAGGAGGCCUAUUAGCCGAUGCUGAUGGGAGUCUGGUCCACAUCGUCACCUGCUAAUCGGGUUGUAUUGGAGCCGAAUUCAAGUCGCUCAAGUCGACCCUGACCUCUGUCAGUGUUCUAUUGGGUAUCGAAGCUGGUGCACAAUGAGUCAAGUGGUGCCAAGGCGCCCCUGAUUUACCUUUGACCUGGACCGAGUGUGAAGUAACCUCCUUCACUUCGUACGGUCCAGUCCACCUGGGAUCCUGCCACUUUCUCUUGUGGACCAUGAUCCUUACCCAGUCUCCGACCUUUACCCUUGGUUGCUCUGGAUCUCCCGUCAGCUCCCCCCCAUGGACUUUGUGUAUCUGUUUGGAAAGAG
ensembl:lncRNA